GUGCUGAUUAACCAACAGGGGCAGAGAGCCUGCUGCUAACACAGCCCAAGUUGUCCAGGCCUGUUAGCAUCCCCCUCAAUAGACACAGCCUGAAAAAAGGGGCAUGGCCUAAGUUUGGUUUAUUCCAGCCCAGUUGCCUACAGAUGAAAUCCUUUCUCCAUAAGCCCUUUGAAGGACAACUUCCAUUUCCAAAGCCUUAAAUUUAAUAGCUGGAGUGUUUCAGGCUUCCUAGCAUUUCUACCAUAUUCAAGGUGCCUUUAAAACAAUCUUUCUGAAAGGUGCUGGGAACUCAGAUAUCAAGCAUAAGCUCUUCAUUUGGUAAAUGCUGCAUUGAUAAAGAAAACCAUGUUCCAGUCUUGCUUUAAAGCAGGAGGUUGAACUAGGUGAAGACAGACUGGUUAAAGAAUACAACUAAGGAAUCAGGUGGUACAAUGAUGCAAAGUACAGGCCUUGUGAGGCUCCCCUGGGAGUUUUCUGUCUUGCACUAUGGGUAAAACAAUUGUCCUGACAAUUCAUUAUGAGGAGUUAAUGUAACAUGCAUGAAAAGAUUUUUCAUAUAGCAUGUGGCUG
rnacentral:lncRNA from 1 species